UAAUGGCCAUGUAACAUUGCCCUU
rnacentral:piRNA from 1 species